rnacentral:rRNA from 1 species
CCCUUAGAGUUUGAUCCUGGCUCAGGACGAACGCUGGCGGCGUGCUUAACACAUGCAAGUCGAACGGAGGUUACGAGGAAGCUUGCGAAUUGUAACCUUAGUGGCGGACGGGUGAGUAACGCGUGGAUAACCUGCCUGACAGACCGGGACAACACCGGGAAACUGGUGCUAAUACCGGAUACGCUCAAGAGUGCCCAUGCACACUUGAGGAAAGGAGCAAUCCGCUGACAGAUGGGUCCGCGUCCCAUUAGCUAGUUGGAGGUGUAAAGGACCACCAAGGCGACGAUGGGUAGCCGGCCUGAGAGGGUGGACGGCCACACUGGAACUGAGACACGGUCCAGACUCCUACGGGAGGCAGCAGUGGGGAAUCUUCCGCAAUGGGCGAAAGCCUGACGGAGCAACGCCGCGUGAGUGAUUAAGGCCUUCGGGUUGUAAAACUCUGUCAUCAGGGAAGAAAAGAAUGACGGUACCUGAGGAGGAAGCCCCGGCUAACUACGUGCCAGCAGCCGCGGUAAAACGUAGGGGGCGAGCGUUGUCCGGAAUUACUGGGCGUAAAGGGCGCGUAGGCGGUUGUCCAAGUCAGAGGUGAAAACUCUGGGCUCAACUCAGAGCGUGCCUCUGAAACUGGACGACUUGAGGGCAGGAGAGGGGAGUGGAAUUCCCAGUGUAGCGGUGAAAUGCGUAGAUAUUGGGAGGAACACCAGUGGCGAAGGCGACUCUCUGGCCUAACCCUGACGCUGAGGCGCGAAAGCGUGGGGAGCGAACGGGAUUAGAUACCCCGGUAGUCCACGCCGUAAACG